GGAGAGGUGGCCGAGUGGCUUAAGGCGCAGUCCUGGAACGACUGAUCAAGUUUAACUUGACGAGGGUUCAAAUCCCUCCCUUUCCG
rnacentral:tRNA from 2 species